UUUGCACACUGUUAAAGCCUGGCAUUGAGGUCGGUGUUUGGGUGUCGGAAGUGUGCUAAAGCAAUCAAGACGGGUUUUCGCUAACACCAUGAGGGCAGAUGCGUCCUAUGACUGGGGUUUGAUGGUGACCUGAGCUACAGAA